AGAUUGAACGCUGGCGGCAGGCCUAACACAUGCAAGUCGAGCGGCAGCACGGGUACUUGUACCUGGCGGCGAGCGGCGGACGGGUGAGUAAUGCCUAGGAAUCUGCCUGAUAGUGGGGGAUAACGUUCGGAAACGGACGCUAAUACCGCAUACGUCCUACGGGAGAAAGUGGGGGAUCUUCGGACCUCACGCUAUCAGAUGAGCCUAGGUCAGAUUAGCUAGUUGGUAGGUAAAGGCCUACCAAGGCUACGAUCCGUAACUGGUCUGAGAGGAUGAUCAGUCACACUGGAACUGAGACACGGUCCAGACUCCUA
rnacentral:rRNA from 1 species